AAAAAUGCUCCUUCAAAAAUAGAGAAGGGGCCCCUAGGGCUCAGUGGUAAAGAAUCUAGCUGCCAGUGCAGGGGACGUGGGUUCCAUCCCUGGUCCGGGAAGAUCCCACAUUCCCUAGAGCAACUAAGCCUGGAAACUACAGCUACUGAGCUCAUGCUAUAACUACUGAAGCUAACCCUAACCCUAACCUUGAGCCCAUGCUCUGCCACAAGAGAAGCCCUCGCACCACCACUAGAGAAAAAUGCUCACAGCAAUGAAAACCCAGUACAGCCAGAAAUAAAUACCAUUAAAAAAAAAUAAAACUCAUUUAAAAAAUCAAAGAGUUUUCAAGUUCCAUAUGCCAGCUUUGUACAUCAGCUAGUUUGAAUCCACAAGGGUGGUUCUUCAUUUCUUUUUUUAAAGUUACGUUAGGAAAAUAUGAACAGGUACAGGCAAAAGCCAAUUUUUGUUCAUCUUCGCUGGAUUAAGUAUGUGAACUUCUGAUGAGUGAAAAUGAAGAUGUACUAUCAGUGCCUUCAGCCUCAACCCAAGAAAUUGAUUUACUUAAAGUUUCUGCAUCCAUGAAUUAGUACAUGAUUAACGAUUGUGUGAACAGAAAGAUGACUGCUACCCAUUUGAUCAGCAGUUAGCUCCCAUCACCGAAACCCAGGCAUGGCAUUUGGAUUUAUUGCAGACACUUGAGCCAUUUCAAGUACAGGUAAGCAUUUUAGUUGUGGGAAUUAUGUGUGUUGCCAGUUAUUUGAAUUAUAUGUUACAGAAUAAAACAAGUCAGUUAAUUACAAGCACUUCUGUAACUAAAAAGUUAUAACUAAGAAACUUAGCAAUAAUUAUAUAGGGAAAUAGAUUGUUACCUAGGUAAGGAUGAACUUUAUAUUUGAGCUAACAGAUUUAUAAGGCAUGCAAAAUAUUAGAAAUUAAUCAGUGUAGCAAUCUUUUAAGUGCUUUUAAAAUCUUACUGUUUUAGGGCACAGCACUCAAUUUGGUUGUAGCACCAGCCAAACGACUUCCACCAGCUUCAGCCACCCAAUUAGCACAUUAUCAAAGACCGUGUUUCCCAGGGAUGACCAGCCCACACACCAGUUGUUCAGAGCUGAUGAACAAGAGAACAGUAACCAGUCAUUGUGUUCUGGGACAGACUGGCUGCCUGACCUUUCCAGCAAAACCCUGUUGAGUUAGGUGGAGCCCUUCAAACAAAAACAUCAAAGGCGGCAUAUGUAAAAUGAAUAAAAAUCAGAAAGGCCCUGUUGGAAGCA
rnacentral:lncRNA from 1 species